GACGAACGCUGGCGGCGUGCCUAAUACAUGCAAGUCGAGCGAUGAAGAUUGGUGCUUGCACCAAUUUGAAGAGCAGCGAACGGGUGAGUAACGCGUGGGGAAUCUGCCUUUGAGCGGGGGACAACAUUUGGAAACGAAUGCUAAUACCGCAUAACAUCUUUAAACAUAAGGUUUAAGAGUGAAAGAUGCAAUUGCUUCACCCAAAGAUGAUCCCGCGUUGUAUUUGCUAGGUGGUGAGGUAAAGGCCCACCAAGGCGAUGAUACAUAGCCGACCCGAGAGGGUGGUCGGCCACCUUUGGACUGGGACACGGCCCAAACUCCUUCGGGGAGGCGCAGUAGGGGAACUUCGGCCAUUGGCGAAAGUCUGGACGGGCCACGGCGCGUGGGUGAAGGAAGUUUUCCGGACGGUAAACUCUGUUUAUAAGGAAGAACGAUGUGUGGAGGGGAAUGCGCAUCAAUUGACGGUACCUACCCAGAAAGCGACGGCUAACUACGUG
rnacentral:rRNA from 1 species